rnacentral:ncRNA from 1 species
UUUUGAAUGUUUCAUCCACAUUGCCUUUACCACAUAUGUGCACAAUUUGAUAUGUCUUUAAUAAAAUAUCUAAAUUUUCACGAAUUAUGUCAUUAAUUUUUUGGGAACCGAUACUCCCCCCCAUAAUAAGUAAGGUCGUUUUUCCCUCAUUAAAUCCAGUUAAUUCAUAUCC